UCCGGUAUGGUGUAACGGCUAACAUUGCCGCCUUUCAUUCUCAUUCGCGGCAGCUCGGGGUUCGAUUCCCCGUACCGGAA
rnacentral:tRNA from 1 species